rnacentral:rRNA from 1 species
CAAACACAUGCAUCACGUACAGAAGCAGCUGCCUGCUCGCUGAACAUGCGGACGGGUGAGUAUGUCUGGGAACUGCCCUGAUGGAGGGGGAUACUACUGGAAACGUGGGCUAAUACCCAUACGUCCCAGAACCAAAGAAGGGGGACGCUCCGGGCCCUCUUGCCAUCAGAUGUGCCCAGAUGGGAUUAGCUUGUUGGUGAGGUAACGGCUCACCAAGGCGACGAUCCCUAGCUGGUCUGAGAGGAUUAACCAGCCACACUGGAACUGAGACACGGUCCAGACUCCUACGGGAGGCAGCAGUGGGGAAUAUUGCACAAUGGGCGCAAGCCUGAUGCAGCCAUGCCGCGUGUAUGAAGAAGGCCUUCGGGUUGUAAAGUACUUUCAGCGGGGAGGAAGGUGUUGUGGUUAAUAACCGCAGCAAUUGACGUUACCCGCAGAAGAAGCACCGGCUAACUCCGUGCCAGCAGCCGCGGUAAUACGGAGGGUGCAAGCGUUAAUCGGAAUACUGGGCGUAAGCGCACGCAGGCGGUCUGUCAGUCGAUGUGAAUCCCGGCUCACCGGGGACUCAUCAAACUGCAGCUGAUUGUAAGGGUAAUCAGUACGUAUCUAAUGAAUCGGCAGGCGCAACGCCGCACUA